rnacentral:misc_RNA from 1 species
UACGAAGGGUGCAAGCGUUAAUCGGAAUUACUGGGCGUAAAGCGCGCGUAGGUGGUUUGGUAAGUUGGAUGUGAAAGCCCUGGGCUCAACCUGGGAACUGCAUCCAAAACUGCCUGACUAGAGUACGGUAGAGGGUGGUGGAAUUUCCUGUGUAGCGGUGAAAUGCGUAGAUAUAGGAAGGAACACCAGUGGCGAAGGCGACCACCUGGACUGAUACUGACACUGAGGUGCGAAAGCGUGGGGAGCAAACAGG